ACUACCGCUGCCGUCGCUGAUUAACGGCCGCCCCGCCUCUGCUCCUCCGCUGCCCCCUCCCUGCCUCUCUGUUCCCUCCCCUUCCCGCCGUCGUUGCUUGCUGCCGCCGCUGCCAGCGCCGCCUGAACUGAAGCGAACUCCAGAGCGAACUGAAGAGCAGGAGGCGGUGAAGGCACCACGGCGGCGGCAGCGGCGGGGCUGAGAGUCGUCAGCCUCAAGCAAACGGCAGAAGCGGGAGGGGAGGGAGGCGAGGCGGCGCGGGAGACGAGGCGGAACUACCACCACCAGCAGCAGCGGUGGGAACAACAACAACGGAAGCACCGCCGGUGGCCGGGAACAGCCUUACAAUACGCGGCGGCGGCGGCGGCAGCAGCAGCAGCAGCGGGGACUCCUCGGGAAACAGCCAAGUCCGCCGCCCCUUUGCCUGCCUCCUCGCCUCCCUCCCCGCCGCGGAGACAGACCAGGGGGCAGUAGCGCCGAGAAAAGGGAGCCGCGACCAACCUCUGCGUGUGCGGCGAGGGAGAGGAGUGGAAACUACCGAAGACUGCGCCGCUUUGGAGAAAGGCAUCCAGUGGGAGCGGCGACAGGAAGCGGCGGCGGCGGCGGUGGAGGAGGAUCACUGUACAGUCGGGGUGGUGGAGGAAGACUAGGGCGCAAUCCUCUGUGGUGGCGGCGGCUGAGGAGGGUUUGGGGUGGCGGUCAUCGAGUUCUCCCCUUUUAUUUUCCUCCGAGACCCGCCGCGGCGUGCUUGUGGCUUCUUCGUUGAGGAGACCCCCUUUUUCCGCUCUCUUGUUUUUCUAAGGGGGGGAAGAGGCCUCUCCCCCCCUCAACCCACAUAACACACCCUGUUUCUUCCCCGCCUGGCGUGCACCCAGUGCGGUGGUUGGACGAGUGCUGGUGCGGGCGCUUGCUCGCUCUCUGUUUGGAAUAUGGUUGGGGAAAUGGAAACGAAGGAGAAGCCCAAGCCGAGCCCCGAUUACCUGAUGCAGCUGAUGAACGACAAGAAGCUCAUGAGCAGCCUCCCUAACUUCUGCGGGAUAUUCAACCACCUCGAGAGGCUGUUGGACGAAGAGAUUAGCAGAGUACGGAAAGACAUGUAUAAUGACACAUUAAAUGGUAGUACGGAGAAGAGAAGUGCGGAGUUACCUGAUGCUGUGGGACCUAUUGUACAGCUACAAGAAAAACUAUAUGUGCCUGUAAAAGAAUAUCCAGAUUUCAAUUUUGUUGGAAGAAUUCUUGGGCCUAGAGGGCUAACAGCUAAACAACUUGAAGCUGAAACAGGAUGUAAGAUAAUGGUCCGAGGCAAAGGGUCCAUGAGAGACAAGAAGAAGGAAGAACAAAACAGAGGCAAGCCCAAUUGGGAACAUCUGAAUGAAGAUUUGCAUGUAUUAAUCACUGUGGAAGAUGCUCAAAAUAGAGCAGAAAUCAAAUUGAAGAGGGCUGUGGAGGAAGUAAAAAAAUUAUUAGUACCUGCAGCAGAGGGAGAAGAUAGCCUUAAAAAGAUGCAGUUAAUGGAACUUGCAAUUCUGAAUGGUACCUACCGAGACGCCAAUAUCAAAUCACCCCUUGCCUUUUCUCUUGCAGCAACAGCCCAGGCUCCAAGGAUUAUCACAGGGCCUGCCCCUGUUCUCCCACCAGCUGCCCUGCGUACCCCUACGCCAGCUGGCCCUACCAUAAUGCCUUUGAUCAGACAAAUACAGACCGCUGUCAUGCCAAAUGGAACUCCUCACCCAACUGCUGCAAUAGUUCCCCCAGGACCUGAAGCUGGUUUAAUUUACACACCUUAUGAAUAUCCCUACACACUGGCACCUGCUACAUCAAUUCUUGAGUAUCCUAUUGAACCCAGUGGGGUAUUAGGUAUGGCUUUCCCAACGAAAGGCUAAGAAUUCAAGAAUGGUCUUAACUGAACCUCAUCAGAGCUGACUUUUAACAAAUGUUUAGUUUUCAGCAGCCUUGAAAAAAAUGUAGCCUAGCAGUCAGUGACUUACUUGCACUUUUUUGCACAUAGAAAUAAAAAUGCUAUUAAUUUGAUGUAGCCUAUGCUAUGGCAAAGUAGCUGUGAUUUAUGAGUGUAUGGUAGUAUACUGACUGCUAUGUAUUCUGUACUAUUUGCUUUACUAAUCACCUAAUUCAUUGCAGUUCAUAGUUAUUGACUUAGUUUUUAAAACAGUCUGUAGGAUUGAGGAAUUGUGUUAUAUAUUUUUUAAAAAUGGUAAAAACUGGAAGUUGUUUAAAAAUUAGCAAAGAACCUUCAGUAUUAAAAAUGGCAUUAUUUAAGAUAGUCCUGCUGCAAGGAAGGCACUUCAGUGAAUAUGUGACUAGUAAAGCUCAAUUGUGUUUGGGUCUAAUAGAUUUCAUGAAAUACUGUAAUCAAGUUUGUAAAUGAAUGGAUAAUGCAGGUUAAGGCCUGGAUGUUUAAAAUAAAUGCAAUAUUAAUCUGCACAGAUCUAAUUCAUAUAUUAAGGUUAAAAUUUGAAACUACUGUGCCUUAACUUGUUGCUUUCUUUAAAUAGUAUUUUAAGAAAGUGAUCAUUUAAAAUCCAUUUUAAUAAGCCUGCUGUUAAUGUUUUAUCAAAUGUUUUCUAACUGUCUUGGUAAUUGCAAUUUAACUAGGUGCGGUGGCUACUAAAGUUCGAAGGCACGAUAUGCGUGUCCAUCCUUACCAAAGGAUUGUGACCGCAGACAGAGCCGCCACCGGCAACUAACCUAUGACCUUCUGACCUCUGAACUCUUCACCCAAUGAUGACCUGACCAUGCCUGCCUGCUGAUCAGUUAACUGGUAAUCGCCUUUGCUUGUCUGUCUUCAGUGCAGCGAGCUGAGGCAUUUGUCCGUUCGUCUUACCAUCUAACAAAAAGACAAAGAAUUUGUUGUCCUCCAACUCAGCUUUUUUUCCCUGUUUGGGUGAAAGUGGUUCUAGAACCUGCACUGAAUAGUAGUAAAGCAAUAAGGUCCAAUUCAUCCUUCCGCACUGAUCAUCUUUUAGUGUCCUACCCUAAAAAUGGUAAGAAGGGCCUCAUUUAAGAGAUGGAAGCAGAUGUCCCUUAACUCCCUGAUGUCAGAGGCAGUUACUGUGAGACUUCUAGGAAUCUUUCUCUUCUCAUAAAGAAGUCAAAGCUCUCUUUGAAUGUACUGUGUGAUGAUGCAUCAUGCAUGAACCUUUGGUCAGGGAUAUCAUUGGUGAAGGGAUUCCUAAAAGUAUUCAAAAUUUGACAUGCAGUGUAAUCACUACCAAUGCCCUCAAAGGGCAGAAGAUGCAGCCUUUUUUAUAUUACCUGCCAAAUUGGGUGUUUUUAAGAAAAAAAAAAGUGCCAUGAAAGAUAGGUUACUGAAUUUUUGAACCACAUCAAUGCAUUAAAAGACAGCAACCCUAUCGAAGCUAACGCUGAGAUACAGUUCUUUUACUAUACAUCAACUUCCUUUUAAAAAUUACAUGAGUACAAGGUACAUGCAUUAUGUGUCACAUUACUGGGCAAACUGUUCAAAUAUUUUUUUAAACCUCCCUGUAUAGAGUAAAUUCAUAAGGAUAUAAAAGCCAUGCUUGCCUAUUUGCUGUAUACAUGUAAUGAAAUUGUAGAUAAAGUGUAGUGCAUUGAAACAAAUUGAAAAAAAAGUAGAUACUUUUACUAUACAAGGGUGCUGGUGCAGAAGAAAUAUAUAUUUUUGGAAAUGUAGCAUUUUAUACUUUCAAGUGUUAUAAAAAAGAAAAAAGAACAAAGAAACCCUUUAUUUCAUUAAAUGAUUUUUUCUGGUGGUUGUCGAGAAACAAAAGACCAAAAGAGCCUUUUUGUCUUUCUUUUUUUAUUUUUUAAGUAUUGGAAUAAGUAUAAAGAAAAGAAAGUGCCUUAUUUUCUUCAUGGUCAUUUAGUCAGGUGUGUCGUAUAAUCAGCUCCUCCCUAAGACAGCAAGUUAAUGCAUGCCACUCAGUCCGCCCAGUAUGUGAAAAGAAGCUGUGAGGAAAGACAAAUGAGUUGACUAUUAAAAUUACCUGGUUUUUGCCACAGCAUGAUGCAACCUUGCCAGAUCCCAAACUGUGAAAUAGAAUUGUUCCACCAACAGCCGACCGCAAUAUUUUUGUAACACGUUCCCUCUUCAAUUGUAGACAAUAUAUUUUUAUAAUACUUGCUCAGCCUUAAACCAAAGGGUUCUACGAUGCAGUUUCAUUCUAAAUCAAAUUAUAAGAUAACAAUAGUUAUAGAGUAGCAAGUGUUUGGGUUUUUUAUUAUUAUUUAGAGAUCAGUUAUCUUUUUCUGAUUGAACUAGAUGCAGGAAACUACAAAAGAACUUAAACUUGCUCCCAUAUAAUUUCGUCCAUGACUAAACCAAACAGUAAGAUUGAGCAUGUUAUAAGUUCUGGAUGAUUAGCUACAAUGCCAAGUGCGUAUGGAUUUACAUAAUUUUUCAUGAAACUUCUACUUGAGGAAUGUUAACUACUGGUUGCGCUUUCCCUUAAAGGAGGAAAAUCCAGCUGUGGUUCAGUUUGAAUUUUUAAAAGAAGUUUGUGUGGCUGAAUUAGUAUUAAUUAACACUAGUGUUUAUAAACACUUUACGCACAAAAGUGGAGUGUAAAAUUAAUGAGCAAGUAUCAACAUGGUCACGGCUUUGAAGCAAAUUGGCAAAGAUCAGGUGAUACCUUGCCCUUUAUAUUGUGUCAGCUUAUUCUCCUAAAAACCUUCACAGUUUCCAAAUCAAAGGUCAAUAGUAAGUUAGAUAAAGAGGGCUUAUUUUUUAAGCAUCUGCAUGGUGACUUUAUCAACAUUGUGUCUCACCUGGAAACAAGUAUCAGUUUAUUUACUAUGCAAUAAACAUUCAUCUUUUUGUACGCAGCUAGCUUUCCUUUUAUUCUGCCACUGGCUUUGUCUUCCUGUUACAUAACAUUUUUGUUGUUUUUUUAUUUGGUUUUACUUUUGGUAUAUGCUGUGCCAUUUUGAUUUUUGUUUGGUUAAAUAAACUUGCGACACUCAAACAUUUUGGAGAGAGGAUUGCUAUAGCGUUACCAGUAUUUGAUCCAGUUUCAUCUCAACUGUGAUAAACCUGGACAUUUUUAGAUGCUGAUCAGAGGUCUCUUCUUGGGAGAAGUGUGACUUCUAAAAGUAAUGUUUGUUCUGAAAAAAAAAAAAAGUUUUAAAACUUGGUUGAUAACAUUUUGGAUCAACUUAAAGCAUGACUUUUGAAUCUCUGAAUGCCUUGGUUCUCAGUAUUAUCAUCCUUUAUUGAAUUUUUCUUUCUUAAAAUAUGUAGUUUAAGUCUUUUUUCUGACAGUAUUAUGUAAUUUUUAGAGUGGGUAUAUGGGAGUGUCGCUUGUAUGUAACCGUACAGAUGACAUGUAUUUGUCUAUUCUUUUAUCUUAGUUUGAUGCUAUGUAUGUAACAUAACCAACCUAUUGCCUAUGAGAAACAUGUAAGAUAAUGUAUUUACAGCCAUUGUUACAAGUUUAUAAUGUAUUUUUCUAUCUUGUUUUAUAUGUAUGUUAUAUAACAUUCAGAAUAAUUUUUCCUGAUUGAGAAAAGGAUACAAAAAUGCAAAACCCACAAUUUUGAUAACUGAAAAUUGCUAAUUGUUUUGCAGUACUUUAUUAUUAUAUUGGGAGUGUUGUCUUUCUUAGGCUUUUAGUUAGCUACUGGAUUGAAUACAUUAGACAUAUUUGGGUUUUAGUUGGGUUUUUACAUAGCUUGCAUUUUAAUUCUUUGGUUCUUUGCUGUUUCUAUUAACCCAUAGCAUUAUUUUAAUAAAUGUUAUAAUACCAACCUACUAACUUUGGACUAUGUCAGUUUAUUAACCAUUACAUGUUUAAUUGAAUAAACAAGGAAGGACAGAAGAAUGUAAGUUAUGAGUUCUUGGACUAACCCUGAAGAAAUGACCACAGAUAACACAUGAUUUGUUUUAUGUUGUUUGUUUGGCUGACAUUCUGCACACUACCAUUGAAUUGGCUUUGGUCAUAUUGGACUUUUACCUUAUGGGUAAGUGCCAGUAGAGUGGGGAACAAGUAGCAUAUUUGCAGGUAAUCUUCUUUUAGAGUCUUGCCACUCGCCUUUCAGCAUCUGCAUUACUAAUUCCACAAUCUCCUUUUCUAAAUUAAUCACUGUCACCUCACAGCAAAAGGGCAAAGAUGCCAAUAUAUUGGUAUACAGUGUGUGCCCAAAGAAACCAGUUUGAUUCUUUGUUGAGCCUUUAUGAUAGUAACUUUUAGUUCGAUUUGAAUGUUCUGAUUAAAAUGACAGUUCAAGCAUCUCAGUACCUAAACAGCAUUAUUGUGCCCAUUUCUAAAUGUAUCUAAAGCAAGAAGUACCAUUAGCUUAGCAGGAUCCAUAUUUCUUCCAAUUUCUUUGUGAUCCUAAAGGUGAUUUUAGAAGCAGUCUUCAAAUGACAAGUCUCAGGUAAUUAAAUUGUCUUAAAGCAAACUGUUUCUUAAUAAACAGUUUUAAAAUUGUGGGUUCACUGCUUCUCAGGUGGAACAUUUCUUUUUUAUAUCUACGGUUUGUAGUAUUUAAAUGACAUCAUAGUACAGUUCAAAAUUAUUUAAAACCAAAGUAGAUAAUUUAUUAAUUACUGCAAAAAAGGUAUAUAAAAUAUCAAUUUUAAAAAGAAGUCUAACAUUAUUUUGUAUGCUUAUCUAGGAGAUAAAUGCUUGCAGAAAUCUAUUGUAAUAAAUUAUUCAAGUUUUUCAUGAAUAGAUAAUGGUUACUAAAAUAUGGCUAAUACGGCCUAUUCAUCUGUUUUCAAAUUUAAUAUAUUUUAUGGGAGACGUAUUUAUAUGGAACAGCAUUUGUUCAAAACAUUCCUUUCGAUGAUCCACUUCAGAGAAUUUAGGCUGAAACUUAUAUCCAUUUAUGUCAGAGUAAUAAGGCUUAAUUUUGAAUAGACAUAAAAUUGAGCUGUUAUAAGCACAACAUGAACAUUAUUUUUUAAAAAAUGAAGUCAAGCCUUUUCAUUUUUAAGAAAAAUAAGAUUUUGUGAAUAUAGUGGCAUAUGAAUCAGUAUUUCUUACCAAAAUAUGUAAUAUAUUUGAAACUGUAUUUCAUAAUAGCAUGCAACAUAAUCUUAACUCAUCAUCUAUUAGAAGAGUCUGGAUAAACAUAAGGAUUUACCAGCUAUGAAUUAUAUAAUAAAAGAGAAAUUGAAAUAAAGAUGAAGUAAAGCCAAAUGUCCCAAUAUAUUCAAGCCUAUUUUCCCGAAAAAUACACAAUAGGAAUGGGUUUUGUUCAAUAUUGUAGGAUCGAAUGUAAUAGGAAUAAAUCCAUUAACAAUAUGCAUGGAUGCAUACCUAUUUGAAAUCAUACCCACCAUAGACUAAACAGUACUAAUACUAAAAAUUAGGUAUUUUUUAUAGCUACCACUCCUUAUUUUUUUUGAUACAGAGGAAAACAAUCCAAAUGCUGCAGUGGUCAAAUAGCAUUUUUUACGAAUGUGGAAUGAAAAGCUAUUGACAAUUACGUAUACCUAAAAUUACCUAAGCCUUUAAAAAAAAAUACAUAUUUCAUGAUAACUUUCCAUAACAUCAGUCAGUAUCCCAUAUGAUUUGAUGAAAUGGCUGUUUAAUUAUGUUAAUUAAAGAAAUAAUAGAGGAAAAUUUAUCUGAGUUUGUAGGAUCACAUGAGUCAACAAAUAUAACAUUUCCACAUUUUUAACAUCAUUAGCUCACUUUCUAACAAAAAGUUACUUCUUUUGGAGGAAAACCAAUAUUUCCUGAGGUAAAUAUAAUUCUUUUAAUAGAUUGAAAACAAAAGUCAUAAAAGCUUUUCUGUAGCUAGAGUGAAAAUAAUGUAAAGAAUAUGUUAUUCAUAACGGUACUUUUGAUUUUGAAAAACAGCCAUAAUGUGAAGCUUAAAGAAGUCAGGUACUAUAAAUUAUUUUUAAGUAUGCUAAAUAUUAAAAAUUUUGUUUAGUACUUCCAUUCAGAGCAAGAAUCCAGCAGAGAGUUGUCCUUGGAGGAGGAUGAAGUGCAGUUUUUUCCAGUUCCCCCUUCGCCAUUUCAUUUCCCACAGUCUUCUAAACAGUACGAUCUUACUGGAACAAUGCAGGUGAUGCAUUGGUUUCAUGGGGUAGGAAAAUGCUUUCCCCCAAUUAAAAUUUGAACAUUAUUAUAGUUAAGGUAAAUUAAUACUAAAAUUAAAGUUGAAUUUAGACUGUGAUUUCUCUAAUAAAGUGGAGUGUAAAUAAAAGCAACUACUGUAAUUUCAUUUGAUCAAGUAAUAAAUUGCCAGUAUUGUUCCCUUUAGGAAGCCACAAAAGCAUUUGUUUUUGCUGGAACAAAUAUUUCUAGAACUUUAAACAUUUUAUGUUAGUAAUAGUUCUUUAGGCUUACAUUUGUAAAUCUCAUUUUUUUCAGCCUAUUAACUAGGGAACCACUGGAAUAAUUCAUGUUGGAAAUACUAAUUGAGAGUAGAAAGCCGGUCAAGAAUUCAUGCAGUGAAAUCAUCUGCAGCCCAUCUUAUGUUGCCAUAAAGCCCAUAAUUACAGAAUAUAUCUUGAUUUUAAAAAAAAAAAAGAUAUUCUGUCCGGGAUUUUGUACCUUUUUCCAGGUAUUUACAAUUGCCAGUCAAAUACUUUAUGUAAUACUCAAUGUUGAAUCAAACUGGUUAAAAAGGAACUGUGCUCCUGGUUCUUUUUAUGCUGCCGGCUAACUAACUGCAGGUGUGAACAUCCUGCCUCAGAAGUGGGUAUUUGAGAAGCACAGAUUAUUUAUUUGCAAUAAUCAGUUCUUGAUAUUAGAUAUGAUGGCAGUAAUUAAAUCAGAGUUACUGCCAGGAGAAAGAUUUGCAUUUGAGCAACUAAUUAUUAGACAAAAGAUUUUUUAAAAGAUAUAAAUAUCCUUUUGAGUUGUAUUAUUUGAAUUUUGUGUCCACGAUAUAACAUGUAUUAGGAAAAAUGGAUGUUGCCCAAACACAUGUAGAUAAAAACCAUCACACCUGUAAACAAUGUGCAAUGAAACUGGAAAGUACAUGCGCUUUAUGCUUAGACGCCAAAGGACAGCAUACAGGGCUGCCAUUACUUUUAUAUUUUGAAAAAUAAAAUUUUGUUCUGUAUGGAACUGUAUGGCAGAAUAAAGAAUGUACAUUUUGCACUCUUUAACUGUCAUUAAAGAUUUUGACACUUUCGUAUA